rnacentral:tRNA from 1 species
UAGAAUAUGGUGUAAAUGUGGUAGCACGAAGAAUUUUGAAUUCUUAGGAUUAGGUUCAAGUCCUAUGAUUCUAG